rnacentral:rRNA from 1 species
UACGGGGGGGCAAGCGUUGUUCGGAAUUACUGGGCGUAAAGGGCGCGUAGGCGGCCUGCUAAGUCGGACGUGAAAUCCCUCGGCUCAACCGAGGAACUGCGUCCGAUACUGGUGGGCUUGAAUCCGGGAGAGGGAUGUGGAAUUCCAGGUGUAGCGGUGAAAUGCGUAGAUAUCUGGAGGAACACCGGUGGCGAAGGCGGCAUCCUGGACCGGUAUUGACGCUGAGG